rnacentral:lncRNA from 1 species
CUUUGAGUGUCGGAGAAUUAUUUUACGAGAUUCUCUGCUCUUAUCUGACAUUGAAAUGGAUAACUGAGAUAAGCUCAUAAUACUCCAACCUCCGGUCGACAAGUGCUAGGCAGUGCUUUUAGAAGUGAGGUUGAAAUUACAAUGUCGGUACGUAUAUAUGUGAGAAUUUACCAGUGUGGUAUAAAUUUUAGUACAAAUGUGUGAGUAAUGUAUAGAUAGAAGCAAGGGACUUGCUUAGGUGUAGUUUGAAUGCUGAUUCGUCAAUCUGUAGAGUGUGUGUUUUAUUUGAGAAAUUGAGUUGCAAAUCAUGGUAAGGAAAUGGAAUUAUCAAACAAAUAAUAAGGUUUUUUCUGUAUGCCUUUGGGUCAAUGCUUUAAUCACUAAAGAGUGUUUUAUAUCCAUUUAUCAUUAUUUUCGUAUUAAUGGAUGUACACACUUUGACUGCAGGUAUACUGAUGUGGUUUGGUGCUCGGCUGAUGAGUUCUUCAUUCCGCCUCCGACAACCCUCUCCCUCCGCCUCCCGUCCAAACCAGGGAAACUUGGUUUUGCAGAAGUUUCAGUCAAGAUUCAUCACUAUGCUUGUGAUCUAUAUCUGCUCAAAACUCAACUAUAUCGGAGAAAUUGGCUGAAAUAUACACACACACACACACACACACACACACACACACACACACACAACAUUUUUGUUGAGUAUAUUGUGUAAUGCUUACAUUUGCAUUUGAUUUGAGGUUAU